rnacentral:lncRNA from 1 species
UUUCAAGAUUGAAGGAGUGAUAUGAUAUGGACACCAAUUACCAAGACUUGAUUAAUACUACUGCUUCUCAAUUAGGUGUGGACACGAUCGUUUUUGAGUUGAAACUCAAAUAUGUUGUGACUGAUCCGUUCCCACCAUUGAAGAUUCAUAGUUUUGAAAAAUACACCAAAAAAUCAACUUUAGAUACACCAAAGUGUUUUAUGUAUAUUUGAGUAUAUAUUGGUGAAUAAGACUUUGUAAUGGUUAAAUUGAACUUUGUAUAUGAAUUUUUGUGGUAAUUAUAUUAAUAAUAUCUUCAUAUAUUUACAGAUCGUGCUAAAAC